CAGGAAGCAUUUGUCAAAUAUGAAAUGGUAUUUGGUUUUCUGUGUUUGGUUUUAUUUGGGCUGUAUUUGUACAAAUAUGUUAUUGGCAUGUGUUCCAAAAUUAUGGGAAACUCCUGUAAUUCUGAUAUAACCUAGUGUACAUUAUCAGUAAUAAUCAUAAUUGUUAUGUUAAAAUCAUUGGGUGCAGAAGAGGUAACAAAUAUCCUUGUCAGUUGUAUCUAUUAAAUAUGACUGCCUUAAAACAUUUUUUUCAUCCAUGGUCCAUUUUCUUGUUUUGGUCCUCAUUAGAAGGGGGUUUAAUAAUCAGCUUUAAAACUCAAACAGGUGCUCUUCAAUGCAGGUUUCUGAUAACUUUGGAGAUUGUGACAUCAGAAUAGAGGAAUAACUUUCAGGACCCCUGAAGAGUAAAAUAUUCAUGAUUAUCAAGCAGAACAGGCAUGAACUGCAUGGACUGAACAAAUCUUUUUGACUUUUUGCUUAAAAUGUUUGCUGAUCCUUCGUUUUGUUUUUCAGAGUCUUAAAACUUUUCUUUCAAGCUAAUGACAGCCUUUAACAGUUUAGUAUACUCCUAUGAACAAAAUAUGGAGCAUAUUUGUUUCUUUCUACUGAGUUCUCCAGAAUUUGGAAACUAUCUAGCAAAGGAACCAAGUAAGACAGUGGUUCUCAACCAGGGUAAUUUUCUCACGAACAGGACAUUUGACAAUAUCUGGAGACAUUGUCCUCACUGGGAAGGGGUCCUACUGGCAUUUAAUGGAUAAAACCCAGGCAUGCUGUUGUUGAACAUCCUCCAAUGCACAGGAAUGCACCCCAAAACAGAGGUUAUCCAGCCCCAAAUUCAAUCAUGCUGAAGUUGAAAAACUCUGCUCAAGGGAAACUCUAACUCUAGCCAAAAAGGAACACUGAUUAAUGAAACAAAAGUGAGAAGACUUCUUAAUGGGUUUUGAAAUGAAAAUUGUGAAUAAAAUAAACAAUUAUACUUACUAAGAUCUACUA
rnacentral:lncRNA from 13 species